UGCAAGUCGAGGGGCAGCAUGAUUGAAGCUUGCUUCAAUUGAUGGCGACCGGCGCACGGGUGAGUAACGCGUAUCCAACCUUCCGUACACUCAGGGAUAGCCUUUCGAAAGAAAGAUUAAUACCUGAUGGUAUGAUGAGAUUGCAUGAUAUCAUCAUUAAAGAUUCAUCGGUGUACGAUGGGGAUGCGUUCCAUUAGGUAGUAGGCGGGGUAACGGCCCACCUAGCCUACGAUGGAUAGGGGUUCUGAGAGGAAGGUCCCCCACAUUGGAACUGAGACACGGUCCAAACUCCUACGGGAGGCAGCAGUGAGGAAUAUUGGUCAAUGGACGAGAGUCUGAACCAGCCAAGUAGCGUGAAGGAUGAAGGUCCUACGGAUUGUAAACUUCUUUUAUAAGGGAAUAAAACCUCCCACGUGUGGGAGCUUGUAUGUACCUUAUGAAUAAGCAUCGGCUAACUCCGUGCCAGCAGCCGCGGUAAUACGGAGGAUGCGAGCGUUAUCCGGAUUUAUUGGGUUUAAAGGGAGCGCAGACGGGUCGUUAAGUCAGCUGUGAAAGUUUGGGGCUCAACCGUAAAAUUGCAGUUGAUACUGGCGACCUUGAGUGCAACAGAGGUAGGCGGAAUUCGUGGUGUAGCGGUGAAAUGCUUAGAUAUCACGAAGAACUCCGAUUGCGAAGGCAGCUUACUGGAUUGUAACUGACGCUGAUGCUCGAAAGUGUGGGUAUCAAACAGGAU
rnacentral:rRNA from 1 species